rnacentral:rRNA from 1 species
AGUGAACGCUGGCGGUAGGCCUAACACAUGCAAGUCGAACGGCAGCACAGGAGAGCUUGCUCUCUGGGUGGCGAGUGGCGGACGGGUGAGGAAUACAUCGGAAUCUCCUUUUUCGUGGGGGAUAACGUAGGGAAGCUUACGCUAAUACCGCAUACGACCUACGGGUGAAAGCAGGGGACUUUCUGGCCUUGCGCGAUUGAAUGAGCCGAUGUCGGAUUGGCUAGUUGGCGGGGUAAAGGCCCACCAAGGCGACGAUCCGUAGCUGGUCUGAGAGGAUGAUCAGCCACACUGGAACUGAGACACGGUCCAGACUCCUACGGGAGGCAGCAGUGGGGAAUAUUGGAGAAUGGGGGCAAGCCGGAUCCAGCCAUACCGCGUGGGUGAAGAAGGCCUUCUGGUUGUAAAGCCCUUUUGUUGGGAAAGAAAUCCAGCUGGCUAAUACCCGGUUGGGAUGACGGUACCCAAAGAAUAAGCACCGGCUAACUUCGUGCCAGCCGCCGCGGUAA